rnacentral:misc_RNA from 1 species
CUAAGGAGUCACCAAGACCACUGUGUUGUAACCAGACCGGUUGCACUCAAGUCUUCGGUAGGUCGAAAUUGAUGGACAGUUCGUUGGGUUUUUUCUCCCGGCCUCGAGCCGCGUUGGGC